rnacentral:rRNA from 1 species
AGCGAACGCUGGCGGCAGGCCUAACACAUGCAAGUCGAACGGAUCCUUCGGGAUUAGUGGCGGACGGGUGAGUAACACGUGGGAACGUGCCCUUUGGUUCGGAACAACUCAGGGAAACUUGAGCUAAUACCGGAUGUGCCCUUCGGGGGAAAGAUUUAUCGCCAUUGGAGCGGCCCGCGUCUGAUUAGCUAGUUGGUGAGGUAAAGGCUCACCAAGGCGACGAUCAGUAGCUAGUCUGAGAGGAUGAUCAGCCACAUUGGGACUGAGACACGGCCCAAACUCCUACGGGAGGCAGCAGUGGGGAAUCUUGCGCAAUGGGCGAAAGCCUGACGCAGCCAUGCCGCGUGAAUGAUGAAGGUCUUAGGAUUGUAAAAUUCUUUCACCGGGGACGAUAAUGACGGUACCCGGAGAAGAAGCCCCGGCUAACUUCGUGCCAGCAGCCGCGGUAAAAC